rnacentral:rRNA from 1 species
UACGUAGGGUGCGAGCGUUGUCCGGAAUUAUUGGGCGUAAAGAGCUUGUAGGCGGUUUGUCGCGUCUGCUGUGAAAAUCCGGGGCUCAACCCCGGACUUGCAGUGGGUACGGGCAGACUAGAGUUCGGCAGGGGAGACUGGAAUUCCUGGUGUAGCGGUGAAAUGCGCAGAUAUCAGGAGGAACACCGGUGGCGAAGGCGGGUCUCUGGGCCGAUACUGACGCUGAGGAGCGAAAGCGUGGGGAGCAAACAGG